rnacentral:rRNA from 1 species
UACGGAGGGAGCUAGCGUUGUUCGGAAUUACUGGGCGUAAAGCGCACGUAGGCGGCUAUUCAAGUCGGGGGUGAAAGCCCGGGGCUCAACCCCGGAACUGCCCUCGAAACUAGAUAGCUAGAGUCUUGGAGAGGCGAGUGGAAUUCCGAGUGUAGAGGUGAAAUUCGUAGAUAUUCGGAAGAACACCAGUGGCGAAGGCGACUCGCUGGACAAGUAUUGACGCUGAGGUGCGAAAGCGUGGGGAGCAAACAGG